rnacentral:rRNA from 1 species
UACGAGGGGUGCAAACGUUAUUCGGAAUCAUUGGGCGUAAAGGGUGUGCAGGCGGCUUAUUAAGUCUGUUGUUAAAUUUCCCGGCCUAACCGGGAGCCAGCAGCGGAAACUGAUAAGCUAGAGGGUGGGAGAGAGAAGUGGAAUUCUCGGAGUAGCGGUAAAAUGCGUAGAUCUCGAGAGGAACACCGAUGGCGAAGGCAGCUUCUUGGCCCAUUUCUGACGCUGAGGCACGAAAGCGUGGGGAGCAAACAGG